CAACCCUGUCUGUCAGAAAUUAAUUAUAUUAUAUUAUUAUAUUAUAUUACACAACUAAACAGCUACAGGAGAUAUGUUUUGUAAGAAGUGUUCACAAAAUUACAUUCAUGUUCUGUCCGAAGUCAACUUUUUCAUAUUUGCUGUUGCAGCUGAGUUGCAUAUGAACAGAAUUUCUGGGAGACAGUCUUGCCCAUACAUGUUGUUUGGUGACAGCAGGCAGGCCUAUCCUCUUUCUCUUUAAUUCUUCUACAUAUGACAGUAAUAUGAUAGUAGAUGUUGCUGAUAAAAAUGUCUGUAUAUGGUCUGAUGUGCUGUAUAUUUCCUCUGCAUUAGGUAUAAAGAUGAUGUGAUCCUGGAUAUAUCCUCUGGAAGGUACCUGGUUAAAGCCAAAGGUGGAAUCCAUUCUCUGGAGAUUUCAAGAUGCUCCACCAAUGACACAGCCCAGUAUACUGCAGUGGCUAGUAACAUCCAUGGACAAGCCUCUAGCCAGGCAGCCGUUAUUGUCAAGAGUAAGUCCUCCUAUGUGAUUACCCUGUUUCUGAUGUUGUAGUGUGAUUUUUAUCAUCCAGGCAAAUUACUUUGCUAAACAUGUAGUUAUUAUAUGGACACAUUACAUCUUUGAUGGCCACUGGUUAUCAUCUGCCUGAUUGCUUACCAGUUUUAUCAAUUAGUUACUGCUAAUAAUGUUCAACUAUCAGUAUGUUUGUUUUUAAUCAUGCAGGGUUCAGGCAGGAGGAUGAGUUCUGUCCAUAUGCUUGGUUUCCUUUUACAGAGGUCAUGCUCCCCCAGGUCCACUACACUAAAAUUCACAUUACUUUUCUGGAGCAGUUUGGGCCUGUGUUUGCCACUGAGGGAGACUCUGCCACUCUGUCUGCAACCAUGGCUGUGAAUCCCAACCUCGCCAACCUACAGCCUGAGGCACAGUGGUAUAGAGAUGGUAACUGUUUUAAGUAGCAUUUUAUGAACAUAUAUAUGAGCACACACAAUAUUAAGUUAAUCUUUUAUAAACAAUGGUUAUAUGCAGUCAAACUGCAUGUAUAAUUUCUAAAAUUAUAUUGCUAUAGCAAUAGGAUUAAAAGAUUUAUGCAGUGAUAUUGAAUUCAGGAUCUUGCUUUAAUCCUAGAAACACAUCUGUUUGACUCUAAAUGGGUGAAGAUUGAAACUGGCAGAGGAUUCACCACCUUGACUCUUCCAAACCUCUACAAAGAUGAUGAAGGCCUUUAUACACUACGCAUGGUCACUAGAGGAGGCACUGCACAACACAGUGCAUUUGUCUCUGUUGCAGGUGAGGUGUGGUGGAUGACUGGACUGCCUGAUAAUUUUAAAUACAACAUUACGCUUGAAACUAAAAAUGUCAAACUAUCAUGAGUCUAAAGAGGGCACAUAGUUAAAUU
rnacentral:lncRNA from 1 species